GAUGAAGAACGUAGCGAAGUGCGAUAAGUAAUGUGAAUUGCAAAUUCUGUGAAUCAUCGAAUCUUUGAACGCAAAUUGCACUCUUUUCGGAGAGUAUGCCUGUUUGAGGGUCAGUAUAAUAAAAAUCGGUAUGUUGCUUUUUUUGUGACUUUCCGGAGUUUGAGUUAUCUUAAUUUUUUUAGGUUAAGAGACUUAAAAUUGACAUCUUUUUUGCGCAUUUUUAGACGUACAUAAAUUUUUUUUAUUCAUUUAUCCUAAUGCCAAAAUCUAUUAGAUGCGAUCAUAUCAUGUGGUUCCGUAUCUAUAAUUUUUUCAUGAUUUGACCUCAAAUCAGGUAGGAGUACCCGCUGAACUUAAGCAUAUCAAUAAGCGGAGGA
rnacentral:misc_RNA from 1 species